CUACGUAUGUAGAGCUUUCUAAAAUUCCAUGUUUCUGAGGUUUAAUUAUUUUUUAAUUUAACAAUUUUAGCUAUUUUUCAUAUUUAGUUUGCGUACAGCAAAUAACAACUUUAAGCUUAUACAUUAUCUUUAGUUAUAACUUAAUUAUUAAUGAUUUGAUUUAUAGAUUUUUAAAGCAAUACAAGAUUGAAUUUAGCAGAAGGCUAAAUUUCUGCUCUGGAGACAAAAAAAGAAGACAGCAAAAAUGACCAGUCAAAAUAAAGAUUAAAGAGACAAAUAAUUGUGUAUAUCUUGGUAUAGAUGAUUUAUCUUCAUUUUGUUAUAAUAAAACAAAAAAUGUUAUUAAACUUUGGGAUUUACCUGUAACUCCAAACUCUUUACAGAAUUUCAAUGUUUGCUCUGAGAAGUUGAAUGAACAAAUUUAUUAAAUGAUAAAGUUGUAUCCUUGAAAGAUAUGCUGGUAUUAUUGGCACAAUGGGCAAGCAUUGAAGUGCAAUUUGGUAAAAUA